rnacentral:lncRNA from 1 species
GAAUCUUUUUUUUUCCCUGUCUCAAGGUGACUUUGAGCCUCGUCACUUUAUUGCAGACUUCGGAGGUUUUCAUCACCCUGUUUGCAAGUACCAUUUCAGUGGUUAAUCACAUCAGGGACAGCUGUCUCUGGGGUGCUCUUUUUGAUACUGGGAUGGAAAAAGCCUUUAAAGACCAUUCCUUUGGUGCUCCAAGCACAAAAUCAACCACUGACAUAUGCCCUGCAGACACGGGAAGCCAGUAAAAUGAUAUCACAGCUAUUAAAUGGGUUCAAGUAUUUUUGUCUUUUUUUUUUUUUUUCCUAUUCCAAUAAAUUUUUUGGAACUUACCCCACCAUCAUUGAUUCUACCCCAAGAGAAGGAAGUAGAAAAUCAGUCACUGUGAGAGUCUGAAGCAUUUCACAGCAAACUGCUUUCACCUCCCAGGAGAAACUGAAAUAUGUUCCCAAACAGAGGACUUGGAAACUUUUCUCUAAAUUGCAAGAAUGUGAAUUAUUCCUGUUGGAGACAGAGCAUGAGAGAGAAGUGAGAAGAGUAGCUGCAGUUUCUCAUCACAGCCUUAUUCUUCCCUUCACCACUUAUCAACAUGUAAACUUUGUUUUCUCAGGAGUAAUGAUUUUACAACCACUAGGGACAAUAGGAAAUGUCAGAUAAGAGACUCCUUACAUAUCAAGUCAGCCCAGUCUGACAAGACUGGAACAAAAUUCAGGAAGAAUAAGUAGAAUUUUAUAUGGUUAUGUUUUGCUUAAAAGUGGCAACUAAAAAAUAAUAUAAUGUGUUGGAUUUUUAUUUAAACUCUAUGCUCAUGGUAAUUUUUUUUUUAAUGGUACUUCUUUUUUUUUUUUUUAAUCUCUUUGUACCACAACAGAAGGCUGACUGAAAAUAGAACUCUGCAUUCAGUGCUGCCAUCUCAUUUUCACCUUUGAGGAUGAAAUUCAGAUGCAAAGGAAAGUUCAGAUCUAAACUUUGUGUCUCCUGCAUAUCUCUCACUGCAUUCCAGCACACAUUGCAAAAGGAGGUAGCUGGCAACAUGUCUCAGCUCUCACCUUGCAAAUGGAUGCGUGACAUCUGCCUUUACAUUCCUAUGUGUAGCCAGAGUACAGUCAAGCUGAAGUAAGUAUUGAAUUUGCAAGUGAGGAAAGAGUUACUUUCCAGGGACACUGUCUGACAAAG